rnacentral:rRNA from 1 species
UACGGAGGGUGCGAGCGUUGUCCGGAAUCAUUGGGCGUAAAGGGCGCGUAGGUGGCGCGGUCAGUUCGUGGUGAAAGCGCGGGGCUCAACCCCGCGUCGGCCAUGAAUACUGCUGGGCUGGAGCACUGUAGAGGCAGGCGGAAUUCCGAGUGUAGCGGUGGAAUGCGUAGAGAUCCGGAAGAACACCGGUGGCGAAGGCGGCCUGCUGGGCAGUUGCUGACACUGAGGCGCGACAGCGUGGGGAGCAAACAGG